rnacentral:rRNA from 1 species
CGGAGGAAGGUGGGGAUGAGGUCAAAUCAUCAUGCCCCUUAUGUCUUGGGCUUCACGCAUGCUACAAUGGCCGGUACAAAGGGCAGCAAUACCGCGAGGUGGAGCAAAUCCCAAAAAGCCGGUCUCAGUUCGGAUUGAGGUCUGCAACUCGACCCCAUGAAGUCGGA